CCCCUAGGCCUAACACAUCCAAGCCGAGCGGAUGAAAAAGAACUUGCUCCCCGAUUCAGCGGCGGGACGGGUGAGUAACGCCUAGGAAUCUGCCUGGUAGUGGGGGAUAACGUUUCGAAAGGAACCCUAAUACCGCAUUCCUCCUACGGGGGAAAGUGGGGGAUCUUCGGCCCUCACCCUAUCAGAUGAGCCUAGGUCGGAUUAGCUAGUUGGUGGGGUAAUGCCCCCCCCCCCGGCGACGAUCCGUAACUGGUCUGAGAGGAUGCUCAGAAGACACUGGAACUGAGACACGGUCCAGACUCCUACGGGAGGCAGCAGUGGGGAAUAUUGGACAAUGUGCCCAAAGCGGUGAGGCAGGCAUACCGCGUGUUGAUGAAGGUCUCUUUGUUUCUAAAGGAUUUUCUGUUAGAGGAAGGCCAGCAAUUUAAACACCUCGUGUGUUUACCUUAACCAGCAAUUUUUGCAAAGGA
rnacentral:rRNA from 1 species